CAGGAUUAUCCAACACUAUAAAUAGUGGCGGAAUUCUCGCUAUUCACGCUCCAGCUCCGUCGCCGUCGUCCGCUCGCAUUCAACAACCACCGCCGUCGCCACCAGCCGGAAGACAGGUCAAGAUCCGAGCAGACUUGCUCUGCGGCCGCCUUCCUCAGCGAGAGGUGGCAGCAACUCCAGCAGCAAUCGAUACAGUCCUUACAGCAGCUCAAGUAGCAUUUUCAACAGAAUUGGUUCACACUAUCCCGAUCCACACAAAACAAGAGAUCCUGCUCCCUCUCAUAGCACAACCUCAUCUUCCACCUCUCUUUACGACAACAAGAUGCCCCAUAUGCCUUAGCUAUUGGUGCAAAGUACUUGAGGUGGCAGAUAAUUUGCUUCAUGAUACUUCCAGCAACAUAGAAACUUAAGUAUUCUGUUCUCAAACUCUCAGAAACAAGGUAAUUAGUUCAUUAUUUUUCUUGUUACAAUCAAGAUUCUAUUUAGUAUUUACUCAUUAUUAAUUAGUUUUUUAUAAACCCGCUGAUGGUAUGCCAAGAGAAUUAUAAGUGUUCUCGUGUGGAAGCAGGUGCAACGUGAUUCUUCCGCAUAGUAAUCCGUGUGAAAUUUUCUCCCUUUCCCUGAACUUGUGUGGUUGUAGCUAAGAGUUUUAGGGGGUAUCAUACAGUUUUUUAUGCAGUCUUUCAUUAAUUGAUUUUGUUAUAUAAAUAUUAUGUCUGAGAUGCUACAUCUUUUAUUGGAACAAUCUUUAUCAAAGCCAUGAUAUUUCCAAGUGUUUUCAUUUUGCAUCUACUUAUGUAGACAUUACUGAAAUCAUUUCACAAGGGACCUCCUAAAGUUAGGACUUUUUAUGGAUUAUGUAAUGUGUUUGAGUAUUAAAUACUUAGUUUACUGUGCUAAUUCUAAGAUAUUCUAGUUUGGCCUAGUCUAAUUCUGGUGUAAUAAAGAAAUAGGUUUCCGUAGGUAUUAUUCUCAUAAAUAAGAUAAUCUGUAGGAUCUCCGUUGCUGUAGCUGUCACAAAGCCACCAACUGGAUGGCAGGAUUCAAGUAUUAUUAAUCACAAAUUUCAGCACCAAUUUGAAUAUUUCUAUUUUUAUAUAUCAAAUAUGUGUCGUAAUCACAGCCAGGGGAUGCCAAAUAAUUGCAACAAAAUCUCAACGAAGAGCGUGAGCUUAGAAUGAAGUUGGAAGAGGACGUGAACAGGAUGCAGAAUGUGGCGGAGGAGGUGGCUCAAAGAUGAACAAGAUGAUCCAAGAUUUGGAAAGGAAAGAGACAAGUUCAUUAGAGCAACCACUAAGCGUCCCGCGCGCGGCUUGCGUUCCGUCUCGGAGGGACGGUUCCGCCACGGGACGCGUUGCAACGUUCGUCCUGUCCCGUAGCCAGUCUCCAGCCCGUAGUCGCGAGACAAAGGACGCGUCGUCCCGUCACGCGCCCGGGUGACGUGUCGCGCCCCCGAUGCAUGCGUGACGCCCACUCGUUGGCCCGAGAGUGGGCGUCGUCACGGAUGACGCAAUAAUUCAUUUUUUUAAAUUCGAAUUUUAAUAAAAAAAAAUUAUUUUUC